GCGUGCUCCGUGGCUAAGCUGUUCGCCUCGCGCCUGCGGAUGAUCGGAGACCAGGUGGAGAUGAGCUGGACGGCCCGGGAGACGGAGGUCGGCUUCCGCUGUUGGGACCGGGGGAUGGUGGUGGUUACCGGGCGAGGCCAUUUAAAGAGCUUCCUGUGUCUGGCGGUGCACGUCGCCUUGCUCGUGCUGUUUGGCGCGAGGCGACACCUGUAGGGCGCGAGACUGCCACACCAGCAACAGAUGGUGCCUUUAUGUUUGCGCAUGCGGAGAAGCGACUGGCGCAUUUGCACUUAAAGCCACGGAUGCGGGAGAGUUGGAAGAUGCGCUCCUGAGGAAGAUGCGCGCUGACUGCAGAAGCGGCAGUGGGAGCUGACAGAAGGAACCAGAACAAUCAGCCAGUCCUUCCCCCGCGCGACCAGCCCACUCUGCCAUCCCAUCUACAAAACAGAAGGGUGAUGUAAUCCUCCCCUGGCAGCACGGAGGAAAACCUUAGUAAUGAUGCGCCUCUGGAUGUUCUCUGGGAGCGUCAGCAUCAACACACCUGCAGGAUUUAAGGCGACUGCAGGUGAUGCACUGAAAACCAUAAGCUCCAGAAUGCACUGUACUUUUAUAAAUACACAUAAGCUAGUGCAAACAUGUAAAUACUGAUGGUUUUAUAUGUGUUUUUACAGUGUUUGGAUAAUCUGUGUGCUUACAUUACCAACCUGUCACGUUUUUAUCAUCAAAUGCUGGACCUGUGUUUUUAAAGCUGUCUGUGACCCUGGAAAUAAGCUUACUCUUAUAUAUUCAUGUGUUUUAUAAACCAACUGUGCUUUUUUAUCUGUGGAAUAUUUCUAAUGGGUUUCUAACAAUCUUAUUAAACACUUUUCUUCAACAAAG